rnacentral:rRNA from 1 species
GUAGGGAAUAUUGGGCAAUGGAUGCAAGUCUGACCCAGCCAUGCCGCGUGGAGGAAGAAGGUCCUCUGGAUUGUAAACUCCUUUUUUGGGGGAAGAAUAGUUCUCUUGCGAGGGAAUGUGACGGUACCCUAAGAAUAAGCCACGGCUAACUACGUGCCAGCAGCCGCGGUAAUACGUAGGUGGCAAGCGUUGUCCGGAUUUAUUGGGUUUAAAGGGUGCGUAGGUGGUUUGAUAAGUCAGUGGUGAAAGCUGGUUGCUCAACAAUCAAGUUGCCAUUGAUACUGUCGGACUUGAGAGAAGUGGAGGUUCAUGGAAUGGAUGGUGUAGCGGUGAAAUGCAUAGAUAUCAUCCAGAACACCGAUUGCGAAGGCAGGUGGCUGUACCUUAAUCGACGCUGAUGCACGAAAGCAUGGGGAGCAAACAGGAUUAGAUACCCGAGUAGUCC